AGCAGCCGCGGUAAUUCCAGCUCCAAUAGCGUAUAUUAAAGUUGUUGCAGUUAAAAAGCUCGUAGUUGAAUUUCGGGACCAGUAUGUUGGUCGUGCUUCGGUACGUACUGUCAUUACUGGUUUCUCCCUUCUGAAGAACCUUGAUGUCAUUAAUUUGGUGUCUUGGGGAAUCAGGACUGUUACUUUGAAAAAAUUAGAGUGUUUAAAGCAGGCAUACGCUUGAAUACAUUAGCAUGGAAUAAUGAAAUAGGACGUUUGAUUCUAUUUUGUUGGUUUCUAGGAUCGACGUAAUGAUUAAUAGGGAUAGUUGGGGGCAUUAGUAUUCAAUCGUCAGAGGUGAAAUUCUUGGAUUUAUUGAAGACUAACUACUGCGAAAGCAUUUGCCAAGGAUGUUUUCAUUAAUCAAGAACGAAAGUUAGGGAUCGAAGACGAUCAGAUACCGUCGUAGUCUUAACCAUAAACUAUGCCGACUAGGGAUCGGAUGAUGUUAUUUUAAUGUACUCAUUCGGCGCCUUAAC
rnacentral:rRNA from 1 species